UACGGAGGGUGCAAGCGUUGCUCGGAAUUAUUGGGCGUAAAGGGUAGGUAGGUGGUCUCAUUUGUCUGAGGUGAAAGCCCAGGGCUUAACCCUGGAAGUGCCUCAGAAACGGUGAGACUGGAGUACUGGAGAGGGUCGUGGAAUUCCCGGUGUAGCGGUGAAAUGCGUAGAGAUCGGGAGGAACACCAGAGGCGAAGGCGGCGACCUGGACAGUGACUGACACUCAACUACGAAAGCGUGGGGAGCAAACAGG
rnacentral:rRNA from 1 species